rnacentral:rRNA from 1 species
CCUACGGGAGGCAGCAGUGGGGAAUCUUGGACAAUGGGGGCAACCCUGAUCCAGCCAUGCCGCGUGAGUGAUGAAGGCCUUCGGGUUGUAAAGCUCUUUCGCGCGCGACGCGGUAGCGCGAGAAGAAGCCCCGGCUAACUUCGUGCCAGCAGCCGCGGUAAUACGAAGGGGGCUAGCGUUGUUCGGAAUUACUGGGCGUAAAGCGCGCGCAGGCGGCCUGACAAGUCAGAGGUGAAAGCCCGGAGCUCAACUCCGGAAUUGCCCCUGAGACUGCCAGGCUUGAGUACGGGAGAGGUGAGUGGAAUUCCGAGUGUAGAGGUGAAAUUCGUAGAUAUUCGGAAGAACACCGGUGGCGAAGGCGGCUCACUGGCCCGUCUGACGCUCAGGCGCGACAGCGUGGGGAUCAAACAGGAUUAGAUACCCUUGUAGUC